rnacentral:rRNA from 1 species
GACGAACCGUGCGAACGUUGUUCGGAUUCACUGGGCUUAAAGGGCGCGUAGGCGGGUGGUCAAGUCGGGGGUGAAAUCUUUCAGCUCAACUGGAAAAGUGCCUUCGAUACUGACUGUCUUGAGGGAGGUAGGGGCAUGUGGAACUUCCGGUGGAGCGGUGAAAUGCGUAGAUAUCGGAAGGAACGCCGGUGGCGAAAGCGACGUGCUGGACCUCUUCUGACGCUGAGGCGCGAAAGCUAGGGGAGCAAACGGGAUUAGAUACCCCGGUAGUCCUAGCCCUAAACGAUGAGUACUAGAUUGUGGACUUAACAUGGGUUCACAGUCGAAGCAAAAGUGUUAAGUACUCCGCCUGGGGAGUAUGGUCGCAAGGCUGAA